ACCAUACCGCAUGGACACAAUCUUUCUGAUCUAGGAAUAUUCCACCUUCUGCCCAAUUCAAUUAAUAACUCAUGAUUUGAACACCAAAAUCGGAUGAAAUUUGCAAUGUAAACUUUAACUGUUACAGUUUCGAGUAUAU